rnacentral:rRNA from 1 species
AUUGAACGCUGGCGGCAGGCCUAACACAUGCAAGUCUAGCGGAUGAAGGGAGCUUGCUCCUGGAUUCAGCGGCGGACGGGUGAGUAAUGCCUAGGAAUCUUCCUGGUAGUGGGGGAUAACGUCCGGAAACGGGCGCUAAUACCGCAUACGUCCUGAGGGAGAAAGUGGGGGAUCUUCGGACCUCUCGCUAUCAGAUGAGUCUAGGUCGGAUUAGCUAGUUGGUUGGGUAAAGGCCUACCAAGGCGACGAUCCGUAACUGGUCUGAGAGGAUGAUCAGUCACUUGGGUACUGGGAAGCGGUCCAGACUUCUAGGGGAGGCAGCAGUGGGGAAUAUUGGAAUAUGGGCGAAAGCCUGAUCCAGCCAUGCCGCGUGUGUGAAGAAGGUCUUCGGAUUGUAAAGCACUUUAAGUUGGGAGGAAGGGCAGUAAGUUAAUACCUUGCUGUUUUGACGUUACCAACAGAAUAAGCACCGGCUAACUACGUG